rnacentral:sRNA from 1 species
AGUAAUUUGGUUUUUUUCCUCUGGCAGUGGCUAUUUUCAAUGGACACCAGAACUCUACCUUUUAUGUAAAAUCCAGCCUUAGUCCAGAUGACCAGUUUUUAGUCAGUGGCUCAAGUGAUGAAGCUGCCUACAUAUGGAAGGUCUCCACACCCUGGCAACCUCCUACUGUGCUCCUGGGUCAUUCUCAAGAGGUCACGUCUGUGUGCUGGUGUCCGUCUGACUUCACAAAGAUUGCUACCUGUUCUGAUGACAAUACACUAAAAAUCUGGCGCUUGAAUAGAGGCUUAGAGGAGAAACCAGGAGGUGAUAAACUUUCCACGGUGGGUUGGGCCUCUCAGAAGAAAAAAGAGUCAAGACCUGGCCUAGUAACAGUAACGAGUAGCCAGAGUACUCCUGCCAAAGCCCCCAGGGUAAAGUGCAAUCCAUCCAAUUCUUCCCCGUCAUCCGCAGCUUGUGCCCCAAGCUGUGCUGGAGACCUCCCUCUUCCUUCAAAUACUCCUACGUUCUCUAUUAAAACCUCUCCUGCCAAGGCCCGGUCUCCCAUCAAUAGAAGAGGCUCUGUCUCCUCCGUCUCUCCCAAGCCACCUUCAUCUUUCAAGAUGUCAAUUAGAAACUGGGUGACCCGAACACCUUCCUCAUCACCACCCAUCACUCCACCUGCUUCCGAGACCAAGAUCAUGUCUCCAAGAAAAGCCCUUAUUCCCGUGAGCCAGAAGUCAUCCCAAGCAGAGGCUUGCUCUGAGUCUAGAAAUAGAGUAAAGAGGAGGCUAGACUCAAGCUGUCUGGAGAGUGUGAAACAAAAGUGUGUGAAGAGU